CGCAACUCUCACUUCCCAUGUUAAAAGGCAUGUCUGCAAAUCAAUUAGAUUAACAUUAAUCAAGGGUUAAAAUGGCAAUGCUAGUGUUCAUCAAUGUUAAAACCCUAGAUUAUAUCACUGUAUAGUUCAGACUUCAGAUAUCCAAGGAAAGAUUCCCUGGUCAAGGAAACACCAUUCUAGGUGCUGCAUGUUAGACAAAGUCACAUGUUCUUUUUCUUGGAUUCUUCAAAAGGGAAAAGAGACUGACUCUGUACAUGUUACUUCCAGUCAAAAGAGAAAAGGCAAAACCCACCUCAGUAACUGGGAAUUCUACAGUGUGCUUUGCUGCUGGCUUCACGGUAAUCUCAGUAACAGCAUCAGCUGAGCCAAAUUCACCAUCUUUGCUUAGUCCUCCGUACUUCACUGGUAUUUGCUCAGCGGCUAUGUACCUGCUUGGUGGUAAAAAGAAAUUUUUUAACUCACAGCCCAAAUGGUACAAAAAUGCAUGUCAGUAAGCGACGACAUUUUCUGUAGCAAAUUUGAAAUCUUUUAGUACAAACCUGAUAAGGGUUUCGGCAGAUUUGGAAGGACCAACAAAGACAAACUUGCUUCUGGUCCUCUGGGUUAAAAAUGGACUUAUCAUUCUAUUUACUGUUAGGUACCACCAGGGAACAUUGAUGAAGAUCUGCAGAGUAGACACCAAGGAAUCAAACAUUAUGAAUUUAGUUAUUGUCAAACAAAGAAUAAACAUGAAUUGAAACAAACAAAGAUACCUGUUUGGCCACAAAUUCUGGAUAGUUGUCUUGAAGCAAUUGAAGUGCCUGUCUAGUAGCUUGUCUAAGCUCUCUCUUAGCUGGUCCAGGAGAAUUUUUCAAGUCAUUAACCUGAACAAUUGUGGAAAUUCCACCGGGACUGAAAUCCAAUGUCCUGAUACUUUUUUCCAGGAAUUGAAUCCUCCACCUUAAGAACCUCUGCCUCUUCUCCUCAUCAGAAAAUGAAUUCUUGUAAAGUUCCUUGUUUUGGAAUUCUCCAUAGACAUUAUAGCACACUGGGUGUCCCUCUUUAUCAAGACCAUGCAUAAAUACCACCUUCCCCAAAUCAUCAAAGCCUAAAUCUUGUUCAAGCAAUUCAUCAAUGCCAAACUCCUUUCUCCAGCGAAUUGUGCUCUUGAGCAUGGUGAAUGCAUCUUUCACCUUGAAAUCUCUGGCUCUGAGAAAUUUCAAGAGAAUCACAUCACUUCUGUCAUCAGCAAGAAGUGGUAUUCCCCAGAUUGAUACUUCUUCUGGUGUCACUUCCACGGUCUCAGAUUCAACUUCUUUAGCUUCCUCAUCCAAUGAUGAGGCAGCCUUUGUCUCUCCCUCGGGCUCUUUUGUAGCCUGAGCUUGAGUCUCCUCUUGUGAAGCCACUGAAGAGGAGACAGCUACGAUGGUCUCUUCAAUGGCUUCCACCGUCUUAGCACCAUCAUCAUCCACAGAAGUACCAGCAGUAGUAUCACUAGCAACAGCAGUAGCCACCUUUCCUUGAUCAUCAAGAACCUCACUUUCCACCACUUCAUUCUUCUCUUCUUUUUCUGCUGCAGCUUCAGUCUCUACUUUUUCCUUGUCUUCUGUUACUGCUGAUGUUUCCUCUUCUUGGGCUGGCUUUUUCUCCUCCUCGGCUACCACCACCACAUCUUCUUUCUUCUCCUCUUUUUUAGCUGAUGCUGGUGGUGUAGUCAAAGCACUAAAUUCAUGCUUGUUAAGUGCUUCUUGAACAAGCUGCUUAAAUUCUUGAAGUGCUUUCUUCUCAGAAUCAAGAAGAUCAGCAACUUUAGUACUUUCCUCCUUAAAAGAAACCAACUGAGGCAUCUUUUCAUCGUCACCUCCACUAGGUUUCAACACCUGAGUCUCUACAGCACCCUCCUCAACCUGCUUUGGCUUCAUUGGCU